GACGAACGCUGGCGGCGUGCUUAACACAUGCAAGUCGAACGGAAAGGCCCUGCUUUUGUGGGGUGCUCGAGUGGCGAACGGGUGAGUAACACGUGAGUAACCUGCCCUUGACUUUGGGAUAACUUCAGGAAACUGGGGCUAAUACCGGAUAGGAGCUCCUGCUGCAUGGUGGGGGUUGGAAAGUUUCGGCGGUUGGGGAUGGACUCGCGGCUUAUCAGCUUGUUGGUGGGGUAGUGGCUUACCAAGGCUUUGACGGGUAGCCGGCCUGAGAGGGUGACCGGCCACAUUGGGACUGAGAUACGGCCUAGACUCCUACGGGAGGCAGCAGUGGGGAAUAUUGCACGAUGGGCGGAAGCCUGAUGCAGCAACGCCGCGUGCGGGAUGACGGCCUUCGGGUUGUAAACCGCUUUCGCCUGUGACGAAGCGUGAGUGACGGUAAUGGGUAAAGAAGCACCGGCUAACUACGUG
rnacentral:rRNA from 1 species